CGCGAAGCUCCGCAAGGGGCAAGUAGAGUGGCAAACGGGUGAGUAACACGUGGGUGACCUGCCUUCGAGCGGGGGAUAACGUCCCGAAAGGGACGCUAAUACCGCAUAACAUCCUGCCUUUGAAGAGGCGGAGAUCAAAGCCGGGGAUCGCAAGACCUGGCACUCGGAGAGGGGCCCGCGCCUGAUUAGCUAGUUGGUGGGGUAAUGGCCUACCAAGGCAACGAUCAGUAUCCGGCCUGAGAGGGCGGACGGACACACUGGGACUGAGACACGGCCCAGACUCCUACGGGAGGCAGCAGUGGGGAAUUGUUCGCAAUGGGCGCAAGCCUGACGACGCAACGCCGCGUGGAGGAUGAAGAUCUUCGGGUCGUAAACUCCUGUCGAAUGGGACGAAUAGGUUGCGGGUGAACAGCCCGCGACAUUGACKGUACCGUUAAAGGAAACCCCGGCUAACUCCGUGCCAGCAGCCGCGGUAAUACGGNGGGGGUAAGCGUUGUUCGGAAUUACUGGGCGUAAAGGGCUCGUAGGCGGCCAACUAAGUCAGACGUGAAAUCCCUCAGCUUAACUGGGGAACUGCGUCUGAUACUGGAUGGCUUGGAUCCGGNA
rnacentral:rRNA from 1 species